CACGUAGGGGGCGAGCGUUGUCCGGAAUUAUUGGGCGUAAAGAGCUCGUAGGCGGUCUGUCGCGUCGGCUGUGAAACCCGGGGCUCAACCCCGGGCCUGCAGUCGAUACGGGCAGACUAGAGUGCGGUAGGGGAGACUGGAAUUCCUGGUGUAGCGGUGAAAUGCGCAGAUAUCAGGAGGAACACCAGUGGCGAAGGCGGUGCUCUGGGCCGGAACUGACGCUGAGGAGCGAAAGCGUGGGGAGCAAACAGG
rnacentral:rRNA from 1 species